GUAGGUGGCAAGCGUUGUCCGGAAUUAUUGGGCGUAAAGCGCGCGCAGGCGGUUCUUUAAGUCUGAUGUGAAAGCCCACGGCUCAACCGUGGAGGGUCAUUGGAAACUGGAGAACUUGAGUACAGAAGAGGAAAGCGGAAUUCCACGUGUAGCGGUGAAAUGCGUAGAGAUGUGGAGGAACACCAGUGGCGAAGGCGGCUUUCUGGUCUGUAACUGACGCUGAGGCGCGAAAGCGUGGGGAGCAAACAGGGAUUAGAUACCCUGGUAGUCCACGCCGUAAACGAUAAGUGCUAAGUGUUAGGGGGUUUCCCGCCCCUUAGUGCUGCAGCUAACGCAUUAAGCACUCCGCCUGGGGAGUACGACCCGCAAGGUUG
rnacentral:rRNA from 1 species